rnacentral:rRNA from 1 species
GAAGCUUUGGCAAUCUCCUUUGGAGAUUGGGUAGGGGAGCGUUCGCUGCGGGCUGAAGGUGUGUCGGAAGGCAUGCUGGACUGCAGUGAAGUGAUUAUGCUGACAUGAGUAACGAUAAAAUAUGUGAAAAACAUAUUCGCCGAAAACCCGAGGUUUCCUGGGUAAAGGUAAUCUUCCCAGGGUUAGUCGGAUCCUAAGGUGAGGGUGAAAGCCGUAACCGAUGGAAAACAGGUUAAUAUUCCUGUACUUGUUGUGUAGCGCGAUGGAGGGACGCAGGAAGAUAGGCGGGCCGGGUGUUGGAUAUCCCGGUGCAAGCGUGUAGGAAUAUCCGGUAGGCAAAUCCGCCGGACGAAUCUGAGACGCGAGUCCGUGGGCGCAAGCCCUGAAGCCGUUGAGUCUAUGCUGCCUAGAAAAGCUCCUAAGUUUAUCCACAGCAAUCCGUACCGCAAACCAACUCAGGUGGGUGGGAUGAACAAUCCAAGGCGCUCGAGAGAACUCUGGCCAAGGAACUCGGCAAAAUGACCCCGUAACUUCGGAAGAAGGGGUGCUCUGUUAGCGUGCGAGGUUUAACAUUUCAAGCGCGAGAGAGCCGCAGUGAAUUGGUGGUGGCGACUGUUUACUAAAAACAUAGGUCUGUGCGAAGUCCUAAAGACGACGUAUACGGACUGACGCCUGCCCGGUGCUGGAAGGUUAAAAGGAGGGGUCAGCGCAAGCAAAGCUCCGAAUUGAAGCCCCAGUAAACGGCGGCCGUAACUAUAACGGUCCUAAGGUAGCGAAAUUCCUUGUCGGGUAAGUUCCGACCUGCACGAAUGGCGUAACGAUCUCCACACUGUCUCGGCCAGAGACUCGGUGAAAUUGCAGUCGCGGUGAAAAUUCCGUGUACCCGCAGAAAGACGGAAAGACCCUGUGCACCUUUACUAUAGCUUGACAUUGGAUUUUGGGCCUGCAUGUGUAGGAUAGGUGGGAGGCUGCGAACCCUGUACGCCAGUAUGGGGGGAGCCAUCCUUGAAAUACCACCCUUGCAUGUUUAAGAUCCUAACUUCUUCCGGUUAUCCCGGAGAAAGACAGUGUCUGGCGGGUAGUUUGACUGGGGCGGUCGCCUCCUAAAGUGUAACGGAGGCAUGCAAAGGUUCCCUCAGCCUGAUCGGAAACCAGGCGCUGAGUGCAAACGCAUAAGGGAGCUUGACUGUAAGAGAGACAUCUCGAACAGGAACGAAAGUUGGCGUUAGUGAUCCGGUGGUCCCGAAUGGAAGGGCCAUCGCUCAUUGGAUAAAAGGUACGCCGGGGAUAACAGGCUGAUCGCAUCCAAGAGUUCACAUCGACGAUGCGGUUUGGCACCUCGAUGUCGGCUCAUCACAUCCUGGGGCUGAAGCAGGUCCCAAGGGUACGGCUGUUCGCCGUUUAAAGCGGUACGCGAGCUGGGUU